AGAGUUUGAUCAUGGCUCAGGACGAACGCUGGCGGCGUGCCUAACACAUGCAAGUCGAGCGGAGUCGGUAAGAGGAAGUUUUCGGAUGGAAUCUUAUUGAUUUAGCGGCGGACGGGUGAGUAACGCGUGAGCGACCAACCUUGCACAGGGGGAUAACGGACCGAAAGGUUCACUAAUACCGCAUGAGACCACGGUGUUGCAUGACACAGAGGUCAAAGGAGCAAUCCGGUGCAAGACGGGCUCGCGUCCGAUUAGGUAGUUGGAGGGUAACGGCCCACCAAGCCUAUGAUCGGUAGCCGACCUGAGAGGGUGAUCGGCCACAUUGGAACUGAGAUACGGUCCAAACUCCUACGGGAGGCAGCAGUGGGGAAUAUUGGGCAAUGGGGGAAAAACCCCCUGACCCAGCAACGCCGCGUGAAGGAAGAAGGUUUUCGGAUUGUAAACUUCUGUCCUUGGUGAAGAGAAGAAGACGGUAGCCAAGGAGGAAGCCCCGGCUAACUACGUGCCAGCCGCAGC
rnacentral:rRNA from 1 species